CCCUUAGAUGUUCUGGGCCGCACGCGCGCUACACUGAUGCAUUCAACGAGUCUAAAACCUGGUCUGAUAGGGCUGGGUAAUCUUUUGAAUGUGCAUCGUGAUUGGGAUAGAUGAUUGCAAUUCUUCAUCUUCAACGAGGAAUGCCUAGUAAACGCAAGUCAUCAGCUUGCAUUGAUUACGUCCCUGCCCUUUGUACACACCGCCCGUCGCUCCUACCGAUUGAAUGUUCCGAUGAAUACCAUUGACUGAGAGUAUGAAUGGGUUCGCCUAUUUCUGCUUCUCGGGAAGUGGAGUAAAUCUUAACAUUUAGAGGAAGGAGAAGUCGUAACA
rnacentral:rRNA from 1 species